rnacentral:lncRNA from 13 species
ACAGCCAGGAGAAUUCUCAAAUCUUUAUAAAUAAGCAAUCCAGGAGCCAGAGAAUCGUGAGAUCUCGUAUAAAUAAACCAUCCAGGGAAAACAUAGCCAG